rnacentral:rRNA from 1 species
GCUAUCAUGCAGUCGAGGGGCAUCGCAGGUAGCAAUACUGGGCGGCGACCGGCAAACGGGUGCGGAACACGUACGUAACCUUCCUUUAAGUGGGAGAUAGCCCGAAGAAAUUCGGAUUAAUACCCCAUAAGAUCAUAGAGUGGCAUCACUUAGUGAUUAAAGAAUUUCGCUUAAAGAUGGGCGUGCGGCUGAUUAGGUAGUUGGUGAGGUAACGGCUCACCAAGCCAACGAUCAGUAACUGGCGUGAGAGCGCGACCAGUCACACGGGCACUGAGACACGGGCCCGACUCCUACGGGAGGCAGCAGUAAGGAAUAUUGGUCAAUGGACGGAAGUCUGAACCAGCCAUGCCGCGUGAAGGAUGAAGGUCCUCUGGAUUGUAAACUUCUUUUAUAUGGGAAGAAACCACUUUUAUCUAAAGGUGUUGACGGUACCAUAGGAAUAAGCACCGGCUAACUCCGUGCCAGCAGCCGCGGUAAUACGGAGGGUGCAAGCGUUAUCCGGAUUCACUGGGUUUAAAGGGUGCGUAGGCGGAUUGGUAAGUCCGUGGUGAAAUCUCCGAGCUUAACUCGGAAACUGCCAUGGAUACUAUUAGUCUUGAAUAUUGUGGAGGUUAGCGGAAUAUGUCAUGUAGCGGUGAAAUGCAUAGAUAUGACAUAGAACACCAAUUGCGAAGGCAGCUGGCUACACAAAUAUUGACGCUGAUGCACGAAAGCGUGGGGAUCAAACAGGAUUAGAUACCCUGGUAGUCCACGCCCUAAACGAUGAUUACUCGACAUUUGCGAUAUACAGUAAGUGUCUGAGCGAAAGCAUUAAGUAAUCCACCUGGGAAGUACGACCGCAAGGUUGAAA